AAUGAACGCUGGCGGUAUGCCUAAUACAUGCAAGUCGAACGAACGCACAAGAAGAGCGUGUUCCUAAUGGUGGCGAGUGACGGGCGAGUGACGAGUAGAUAAGCUACCACUAUGUCUGGGGUAAUUACGGAAAACCGCAUCCGAUACUGGAGGAUACGUUCUACCGCAUGAAGCAAAAGAUAAAGACGCUUUGCCUGUCAGAAUUAGCCGGUGUCGCGCUAGAUUGUCGGCGUGGUAAGGGCCCACCAAGGCGACGAAACGUAGCCUGGCUGAGAGGAUGAUCGGCCAAACUGGAACUGAGACGCGGUCCAGAGUACUACGGGAGGCAGCAGUGGGGAAUAUUCCACAAUGGGCGAAAGCCUGACGCAGACACACCGAGUGAGUGAAGAAGGCCUUCGGAUUGUAAAGCUCUGUUAUUGGGGAAGAACAGCAGCGUAUGAAAACGCCGACGUCGUGACGGUACCAAAAGAAUAAGCCCCGGCUAACUACGUG
rnacentral:rRNA from 1 species